AUUGAACGCUGGCGGCAGGCCUAACACAUGCAAGUCGAGCGGAUGAAGGGAGCUUGCUCCUGGAUUCAGCGGCGGACGGGUGAGUAAUGCCUAGGAAUCUGCCUGGUAGUGGGGGAUAACGUCCGGAAACGGGCGCUAAUACCGCAUACGUCCUGAGGGAGAAAGUGGGGGAUCUUCGGACCUCACGCUAUCAGAUGAGCCUAGGUCGGAUUAGCUAGUUGGUGUGGUAAAUGCUUACCAAGGCGACGAUCCGUAACUGGUCUGAGAGGAUGAUCAGUCACACUGGAACUGAGACACGGUCCAGACUCCUACGGGAGGCAGCAGUGGGGAAUAUUGGACAAUGGGCGAAAGCCUGAUCCAGCCAUGCCGCGUGUGUGAAGAAGGUCUUCGGAUUGUAAAGCACUUUAAGUUGGGAGGAAGGGCAGUAAGUUAAUACCUUGAUGUUUUGACGUUACCAACAGAAUAAGCACCGGCUAACUUCGUG
rnacentral:rRNA from 1 species